AACGAACGCUGGCGGCAUGCCUAACACAUGCAAGUCGAACGAGACCUUCGGGUCUAGUGGCGCACGGGUUCGUAACGCGUGGGAACCUGCCCUUAGGUUCGGACUAACUCAGAGAAAUUUGAGCUAAUACCGGAUAAUGUCUUCUGACCAAAGAUUUAUCGCCUUUGGAUGGGCCCGCGUAGGAUUAGCUUGUUGGUGCGGUAAUGGCCUACCAAGGCGACGAUCCUUAGCUGGUCUGAGAGGAUGAUCAGCCACACUGGGACUGAGACACGGCCCAGACUCCUACGGGAGGCAGCAGUGGGGAAUAUUGGACAAUGGGCGAAAGCCUGAUCCAGCAAUGCCGCGUGAGUGAUGAAGGCCUUAGGGUUGUAAAGCUCUUUUAACAGGGAUGAUAAUGACAGUACCUGGAGAAUAAGCUCCGGCUAACUCCGUG
rnacentral:rRNA from 1 species